GCUAGCAGUUCACAGAAGACAGAAGAGGACAGAGCCCAGUUAAGACACUUUCCUCUGUGGACUAACAGCUCCAUGUCAUCAUUUCCUUUUCCUCAGAUCAUGAAGAUGUUCAAACACAGUCACUGACAGGAGUAAUUUGACCACAUCGGGAACAAAAGAUACUGCAAGAGGAGCAGAUGGGAAGGAUGAAAGGGCUCUACUUGACACUGGGCCUCUUGGCACUCACAACCUGCUUCUCAACAAGUACAACACAAGAGAGACAAAAUAGGCUGAAAAAUAGACUACAAAUGAAUCCAUCUGCACAAGCAUCAUCUUCACCUCAGCAAAUACUUUUCUUAAGGAAAAGUGGUAGGAUUCCCACUCAGCUAAAUCCAUCUGCGCAACAAAGACUUGGAGGCUCUCGAGCCUAUUUAAAUCCCGCUGGUCCAAAGAGAUCUCCAAAGAUAAAAUCUAGUCAAAGCUCUGCUGUACAGCAAAUUAGCCGAAAACCCUCAAAUUACCUGAAUUUUCCAGUUAAAACAAGAUCUAGAACUAUCAAAUUUGAUGUAAAUAAACGUGCCCAAAAGUUAAUUAAAAGUAAUAAACUUCUCAUGGAUACCUACACUCAUUUAAAAUUAGAUAAAUCCAAAAUUCCUUCAUAUCAAAAAAACAUGAAGCCCAAAACUAAGCUAAACUUAUUAAGUAAACCAAGAAUACCUAGCCAACCAAAAUCUCAGUCAAAAAUAUCUGAACAAAAUCAAAAUAAACGCAAAAAAGAACAGCGUGUUAUAAAGAGAAAUCACCUAAGUGGGACUAAAAACCAUCAAAUUAGCCAACCAAAAGCUAGUCAAAAAUCUGCCCAUCAAAAAAGCCACCAACUCCAAAAUAACAUAAAUAUAACAGCUCACAAAAGAUCUAGCAAUACCAAAUCUCAUAUACUCAAAACUAAAAUAUUACCAAGGAAAUCUAAAUCUCUUUCCAGGGUAAAUAAUCAACAGAACUCAGAUUUGACUAAGUUAUCCGCAACUUCAACUGGUAAAAAAUAUAGUCAACGUCAAACAAGGCAACAAAGAUUAGGUCCACGGAAAACAUCUGGUAAAUCAAAACUUCUAAAAUACAACAGAAGUAAGAAGGUAAAGCAGAAAACUGGUCCAAAUAAACCUGAUCCAACUGGACCCAGACAUGAUCAACCUGGUCAACCCAAGCCUGGUCAAAAAAAUUACAAACAAAAUGUCAACCAUCUCCCAAAUCAAAUGAAUUCAACAGCUCCCCUCAAAAUUAACAAACCCAAAUCUCAGCAAGGAAAAAUGGUUAAAAAAUCUCCAAGAAAACCUAAGCCUCACUUUAUAACCAAAGUUGAGCAAAAUCCAAAAAAAUCUAAUUCACCUGUAGUUUUAGUUGGUAAACGAAAUGGCCAGCACCAACCUAAACCACAAGCAAUAGGUUCACAUAAAAUAUAUACACUAUCAAAGCUUCAUAAUAAUGCAAUCAAGAAACAACGAAUUAGUCCAACAAAGACUUCUGAACAAAAGAAAAUUAACCAAAGGAAGUAUCAUCUAAAUUCUACUAAAGAAUCUGGAAACUCGAAACCUGUUGCAAACAGAUCAAAAAGAACCAAAAAAGUGAAAAAACAAUCUGGCCAACAGAGACCAGUGUGUAGACAUUGUCCAUCAGGCCAAUCAAGACCUCUUCAAAUAUUUCCUAUGCAACAAAAUAGCUACCAACUUUCAAAUCACAGGAACUCAUCGGCUCUUAAAAAACCUAGAAUUAUCAAAUAUCAGCCAGGCAAAACUACUAAAAAGUUAUCAAGGAAACCUAAACCUUCCUGUGGGACAAAAUUUCAACAAAAGCCAAAAGUACCCAAACGACCUUCAAUUUCAAAUGGUCCAAGGAAAGGUCAUGGUCAAACCAAACCACAACCAUUAAGUAUCAAGAAAAUAUUCAGCCAAGCAAAACUCCAUAAAAAUCCAACCAUAAGGCAACAAAAGAGUCAAGUAAAAACUUGUCCAAAUAUUCCCAAACAUCAUCAGACUGGGCCCUUAGGGCAUUAUUUGAGUAAACCAAUAAGAAAACAAUCUGGCCAAAGAAAACCGGAGGCAAAAGCAACCAAGCAGAAGAAAAGCAGGAAAGCAAAGAAUCCACCCUAUUAUUCAAGACCUCCCCACCCAGUCCCUCAAUUUCAUCUCCCUGGUCAACCAAUACCUAGACCAAAGGUGCCCUAUCCUAACCCACUUUAUAUUCAUCUGUAUAAACCCAUCCAACACCCUGCCUCACACAUACAUUGUGGAAAGCAACUAGGUAAAAAGCACCAACUUCACCCACACAGAACUUGUCAAAAGCCAGCACUGAAACCUAAACCUGGAUUUCAGCAGCAUCAUCCAGGGAUACUUCCUACCACACAACCUGGAAAGUUGACAACAAAUCUCAAUCCAAAAACUUCUAAACCUGUAUCCUCGGGACCAUUUUUAGUGACCACCAAAGCCUCUGCAGCCAUUUCAUCUGGAUCAACUAGCAGAAAGCCCACCACAAACUCACUGGCAUCUACCACCAAAUCUUCCUCAACUUCUAAUCCAACAACCACAGCCGCAAAAUCCACUGUUUCCACCAAACCUGUGGUUAAUACUCCCAAAUCCUCCACAACUGCAAAGUCAGCAGUUCCUACCAACAAAUCUUCCAGCAC
rnacentral:lncRNA from 12 species